rnacentral:rRNA from 1 species
CCUACGUGCGGCAGCAGUAGGGAAUAUUGCACAAUGGGGGAAACCCUGAUGCAGCGACGCCGCGUGAGUGAAGAAGUAUUUCGGUAUGUAAAGCUCUAUCAGCAGGGAAGAUAAUGACGGUACCUGACUAAGAAGCCCCGGCUAACUACGUGCCAGCGGCCGCGGUAAUACGUAGGGGGCAAGCGUUAUCCGGAUUUACUGGGUGUAAAGGGAGCGUAGACGGCAGCACAAGUCUGGAGUGAAAUGCCGGGGCUUAACCCCGGAACUGCUUUGGAAACUGUGCAGCUAGAGUGCAGGAGAGGUAAGUGGAAUGCCUGGUGUAGCGGUGAAAUGCGUAGAUAUUAGGAGGAACACCAGUGGCGAAGGCGGCUUACUGGACUGUAACUGACGUUGAGGCUCGAAAGCGUGGGGAGCAAACAGGAUUAGAUACCCUAGUAGUC